rnacentral:rRNA from 1 species
AUUGAACGCUGGCGGCAUGCUUUACACAUGCAAGUCGAACGGUAACAGGCCUUCGGGUGCUGACGAGUGGCGAACGGGUGAGUAAUGCAUCGGAACGUACCCAGAGGUGGGGGAUAACGCAGCGAAAGCUGUGCUAAUACCGCAUGUGAUCUGAGGAUGAAAGCGGGGGACCGAGCAGCAAUGUUUGGCCUCGCGCCUUUGGAGCGGCCGAUGUCGGAUUAGCUAGUUGGUGGGGUAAAGGCCUACCAAGGCGACGAUCCGUAGCUGGUCUGAGAGGACGACCAGCGACACGGGGACUGAGACACGGCCCAGGCUCCUACGGGAGGCAGCAGUGGGGAAUUUUGGACAAUGGGCGCAAGCCUGAUCCAGCAAGGCCGCGUGCGGGAAGAAGGCCUUCGGUGUGUAAACCGCUUUUGGCAGGAACGAAACGGUGUCCGCUAAUACCGGGCGCUAAUGACGGUACCUGCAGAAUAAGCACCGGCUAACUACGUG